GACGAACGCUGGCGGCGUGCUUAACACAUGCAAGUCGAACGGAAAGGCCCUGCUUUUGUGGGGUGCUCGAGUGGCGAACGGGUGAGUAACACGUGAGUAACCUGCCCUUGACUUUGGGAUAACUUCAGGAAACUGGGGCUAAUACCGGAUAGGAGCUCCUGCUGCAUGGUGGGGGUUGGAAAGUUUCGGCGGUUGGGGAUGGACUCGCGGCUUAUCAGCUUGUUGGUGGGGUAGUGGCUUACCAAGGCUUUGACGGGUAGCCGGCCUGAGAGGGUGACCGGCCACAUUGGGAAUGAGGAGCGGCCCGGCCCCCUCCGGGGGGCAGGGGGGGGGAAAUUUGCACAAGGGGGGGAGGCCGGGAGCAGCAACGCCGGGGGGGGGAUGACGGCCUUCGGGUUGUAACCCGCUUUCCCGUGUGACGAAGGGUGAGGAAGGGAAAUGGGGAAAGAAGCACCGGCAAACUAGGG
rnacentral:rRNA from 1 species